AUGAGUUGGACAUGUCUAGGGGGGCUGUGGAAGGCUGGCAUUCCCCUCAAGAUUAAGAUCUUUAUGUGGCAAAUGUUCCGUAAUCGACUUCCUACAUCGGAUAAUGUGGCCAAGCGCAACGGUCCGGCGAAUGGGACAUGCACCAUCUGUGGGCCGGGGGAGGAUGCUAACCACGUCUUCUUCAGAUGCGGUCUCGCUAGAUUUGCAUGGAGUGCGGCCAGAGAGGCUUUUAACCAGAACUGGAAUCCGCAAACUAGCAACGACCUUCUUACCAUACUAACCGCGCAGAAGGGUACGAAUGCUCGGGUGCUGUGGCGAUGCGUAGGAGCGAUGCUUUGGUCAAUUUGGACCAUGCGGAACAAAAUUACUAUUGAACACAAGUUUCCUGCUCACCCCGCUGAUACUCUUUUCAAAUGUCAUUACUUUCUUACAGGCUUGGGCGCCAUUGAGGAAACAGCAUGA
rnacentral:rRNA from 1 species